AUUACAGACACAGAUGAGAGGUUUUCACUGACUGUAGGCUAUACUUUGUGUUGUUUUGAACCUAAUUAAGGACGAAAUGUAUGCUUUAUGUACUUUUUCUGUAGUUGGUAACUUAUCAGGGACUGUAAGAGUCUGUAUGUGUUCAUAUAUGUUCAUUUAUUUAUUUAUUUAAAAUAAUUACAGACGUUACAGUAGGUUAUUUCAACCCAGUCUCAUCAAUCUGUGUACAAACAACACGACUUUACACUUUCCUUUUGCGUGCAAUGCAUAUGCAAAAAUCCAUUUUUUCGUGCAUAUGAUACGCCAAUUCUCCCCAUUCACUUCUGUUGAGAACAGAUGCGUACAAAUACCACACACCAACUCUAUGGCAAUGACGUCAUGAACAAGAUUCGGUUCCAAUGCACAGUUCACCUGAGGAGGGACCAUACUGAAGCAAGCUAUCCAAAUGGAUUCCCAGAGGAUGGGUCCAGGGGCCUCUUGUGUACUGAAGAAAAGACUGCAGGACCUCAAACUGAAACAGCAGCAGACUGUAGCAUGCAAAAGUUUCUCUGCGUCACUGAAAAAACAGCAUUCUCGAUGUUUGGUUUAUUGAUAAACUACAGUCAACAGAUGACAGACAAUGACAGCAGGAAUGUGUGCACAAAUACUUUCAUAUUUGAGUGUGUGAGAGAAACUUUGUCAAUGUCUGGUUAAUGUUUUAGUCAAUUGUAAAUAAAUGCUGUAAAGUAACAUCCCACAAUAACUCGAUGUCUUUGUUUAACCACUUUUUACUAAAUAAAACCAGUAUUGAACUACUUUAAAA